AGGGCCGCGGUAUUUUGACCGUGCGAAGGUAGCAUAAUCAGUAGUCUUUUAAUUGGAGGCUUGUAUGAAUGGUUGGAUGAGGCAUGAGCUGUCUUUAUUUNNAUGGUAUAAUUUAACUUUUAAGUGAGAAGGCUUAAAUUUUUUAGGGGGACGAUAAGACCCUAUAAAACUUUAUAUGNUGUGAGUUUAGUGUNNGAGAAUUGUGUGUAAGUUAUACUAGAUUGGGUAAUAUUUUGUUGGGGUGACAGAAAUAUAAUUNUUAACUGUUNUAUAAAAUUUAAUAUAGAUGGAUAGGUAAUGAUCCUUUUUUGGGGAUUAAAAGAUUAAGUUACUUUAGGGAUAACAGCGUAAUUUUCCUUGAGAGUUCGUAUCGACAGGAGUAGUUGCGACCUCGAUGUUGAAUUAAAGUUNUUAGCUGGGUGUAGUCGCUUAGUGGGUAGGUCUGUUCGACCUUUAAAAUUUU
rnacentral:rRNA from 1 species